UACGAGGGGGCAAAUGUUGUUCGGAAUCACUGGGCGUAAAGGGAGCGUAGGCGGGCUUCUAAGUUAGGUGUUUAAUCCCGGGGCCCAACCCCGGUCGUGCACCUAAAACUGGGAGUCUUGAAUAGUGGAGAGGUCAGUGGAAUUGGGGGUGUAGCGGUGGAAUGCGUAGAGAUCCCCAAGAACACCAGUUGCGAAGGCGGCUGACUGGACACAUAUUGACGCUGAGGCUCGAAAGCAUGGGGAGCAAACAGG
rnacentral:rRNA from 1 species